AGAGACAGCAGCAGCCGCGGGAAUACGUAGGUCCCGAGCGUUGUCCGGAUUUAUUGGGCGUAAAGCGAGCGCAGGCGGUUAGAUAAGUCUGAAGUUAAAGGCUGUGGCUUAACCAUAGUACGCUUUGGAAACUGUUUAACUUGAGUGCAGAAGGGGAGAGUGGAAUUCCAUGUGUAGCGGUGAAAUGCGUAGAUAUAUGGAGGAACACCGGUGGCGAAAGCGGCUCUCUGGUCUGUAACUGACGCUGAGGCUCGAAAGCGUGGGGAGCGAACAGGAUUAGAUACCCCCGUAGUCCCUGUCUCUUAUACA
rnacentral:rRNA from 1 species